GUCCAGUUCGGAUUGUAGUCUGCAACCCGACUACAUGAAGCCGGAAUCGCUAGUAAUCGCGGAUCAGAAUGCCGCGGUGAAUACGUUCCCGGGUCUUGUACACACCGCCCGUCACACCAUGGGAGUCGGAAAUGCCCGAAGUCUGUGACCCAACCGUAAGGAGGGAGCAGCCGAAGGCAGGUCGGAUGACUGGGGUGAAGUCGUAACAAGGUACC
rnacentral:rRNA from 1 species